ensembl:ncRNA K04H4.8 ncRNA
GUGUAAUGUGUAAUGCUCUUUCAUUUUAUCAUUGAAUUUUCUAACUUUUAUCCUUAUUUUACUGGAAUUAAUCGCCGUCUGGAAUUUUUCAGAACAUGAACGAAACUAAUCAAUUGUAGCGCAAUAUUUUCUUAUGACAUAUAAAAAUGCAGAAAAAAGAGAAUCCGGCUGUAU